rnacentral:rRNA from 1 species
GAUGAACGCUGGCGGCGUGCUUAACACAUGCAAGUCGAACGAUGAUCCGGUGCUUGCGCCGGGGAUUAGUGGCGAACGGGUGAGUAACACGUGAGUAACCUGCCCUUGACUCUGGGAUAAGCCUGGGAAACUGGGUCUAAUACCGGAUACGACUGCUCCGCGCAUGCGGUGGUGGUGGAAAGCUUUUGCGGUUUUGGAUGGACUCGCGGCCUAUCAGCUUGUUGGUGGGGUAAUGGCCUACCAAGGCGACGACGGGUAGCCGGCCUGAGAGGGUGACCGGCCACACUGGGACUGAGACACGGCCCAGACUCCUACGGGAGGCAGCAGUGGGGAAUAUUGCACAAUGGGCGAAAGCCUGAUGCAGCGACGCCGCGUGAGGGAUGACGGCCUUCGGGUUGUAAACCUCUUUCAGUAGGGAAGAAGCGAAAGUGACGGUACCUGCAGAAGAAGCGCCGGCUAACUACGUGCCAGCAGCCGCGGUAAUACGUAGGGCGCAAGCGUUAUCCGGAAUUAUUGGGCGUAAAGAGCUCGUAGGCGGUUUGUCGCGUCUGCUGUGAAAGACCGGGGCUCAACUCCGGUUCUGCAGUGGGUACGGGCAGACUAGAGUGAUGUAGGGGAGACUGGAAUUCCUGGUGUAGCGGUGAAA